UACGUAGGGGGCUAGCGUUGUCCGGAUUUAUUGGGCGUAAAGAGCUCGUAGGCGGUCUGUCACGUCGGCUGUGAAAACCCGAGGCUCAACCUCGGGCCUGCAGUCGAUACGAGCAAACUAGAGUACUGCAGGGGAGACUGGAAUUCCUGGUGUAGCGGUGAAAUGCGCAGAUAUCAGGAGGAACACCGGUGGCGAAGGCGGGUCUCUGGGCAGUAACUGACGCUGAGGAGCGAAAGCGUGGGGAGCGAACAGG
rnacentral:rRNA from 1 species